ensembl:rRNA 5S_rRNA 5S ribosomal RNA
GUCUAUGAAAAUACCACCCUGAAUGUGCCCGAUCUCAUCUGAUCUCAGAAGCUAAGCAGGGGUGCAUCUGGUUAGUACUUGCUAAGGAGAUGGCUCAGCAGUUAAGACCUCUGACU